GAAAUGCGAUAAGUAAUGUGAAUUGCAGAAUUCAGUGAAUCAUCGAAUCUUUGAACGCACAUUGCGCCCCUUGGUAUUCCGGGGGGCAUGCCUGUUCGAGCGUCAUUACAACCCUCAAGCUAUGCUUGGUUAUGGGCCGUGCCGGCAACGGCUGGCCCCAAAAUUAGUGGCGGCGCCAUCGUGCUCUCAGCGUAGUAAUUUUUCUCGCUGUUGGGUCCCGGUGGACGCUGGCCAGCAACCCCCAAUUUUCUAUGGUUGACCUCGGAUCAGGUAGGGAUACCCGCUGAACUUAA
rnacentral:misc_RNA from 1 species